UGCCAAAGAUUGGAGCAUUCUAAGUGCAUGCUCUGUCUAGCAUUGGCAUUGCUUCAAGCUCGACUGUGUCGGUCAGCCUAAACAUCGAUGCAAGCAAAAGAUGCCCAUGCAGAGUCCAGAGGAAAAGACACCUGAAGAGGGCCAGGAUGCUUGUCCCAGCACUCCUGUGAAAGGAAAAGAUAGCUCACCUUUACAGAGUACCAGCAGUCUUAGAUCUAUUGGUUCGAUGUCUAAGGUUGCGCUUUUGGAGGAAAAGAUUAAGUGGCAGGAAAGAAUGAUUAAAUAACUGGACAGACGGAAUGCCAUUUCCUUAGGGAACAGCUGAAGGGGAAUGGGGAAGGAAAAAAGCCACCUGGUGAGGGACAUUUAACCCCUUGAAAACAUCUCUUAACCUCUUAAAAAUGUGGCGUAACAAAAAGGUAGCCCCACCAUCCACCAGGCAUCAUAUAUGAGGUAAGGAUUACUUCCUUUCAAGAAAACCUUGCACAAUUGUUGUGCUGGUCUUGCCCACUUUGACAU